GCCAAAAGGAUAUAAAAUAUUUAUGGUAGAUGAGGGAAAAAAUAAUAAAAAAAGGUACAUUCUCUCUCAAAAUAUUAUGAAAUUACGCUAUUAUAAGAUAAAUUCCAUUAUCAUGGAAGAUUUGCUUUUGUUAAAUAUGUCCCAAAAUAGCUAACAUAAAGUUGUUUCCUGCAUUAUUUUCACUAUAACUUUGCUUUGGGAUUAUUUUCUUUCCACAAACAACAAAAAGGUGAUGUAGCUCACAAGACUUCCUACAGUUACAUGUUAAAUUUCUUAAAGGAUCUAUCAAGUUAAGAAUAAAGGAAAAUAAUGCUGAUUAAAAGUCACAAUAACAUUAAUAAGAGUAUACUAGAAGUUCUUGUGUUAAAG
rnacentral:misc_RNA from 1 species